rnacentral:rRNA from 1 species
GAAAGGCGCUUUCGGGUGUCGCUGAUGGAUGGACCCGCGGUGCAUUAGCUAGUUGGUGAGGUAACGGCUCACCAAGGCGACGAUGCAUAGCCGACCUGAGAGGGUGAUCGGCCACAUUGGGACUGAGACACGGCCCAAACUCCUACGGGAGGCAGCAGUAGGGAAUCUUCGGCAAUGGACGAAAGUCUGACCGAGCAACGCCGCGUGAGUGAAGAAGGUUUUCGGAUCGUAAAACUCUGUUGUUAGAGAAGAACAAGGAUGAGAGUAACUGUUCAUCCCUUGACGGUAUCUAACCAGAAAGCCACGGCUAACUACGUGCCAGCAGCCGCGGUAAUACGUAGGUGGCAAGCGUUGUCCGGACUUAUUGGGCGUAAAGCGAGCGCAGGCGGUUUCUUAAGUCUGAUGUGAAAGCCCCCGGCUCAACCGGGGAGGGUCAUUGGAAACUGGGAGACUUGAGUGCAGAAGAGGAGAGUGGAAUUCCAUGUGUAGCGGUGAAAUGCGUAGAUAUAUGGAGGAACACCAGUGGCGAAGGCGGCUCUCUGGUCUGUAACUGACGCUGAGGCUCGAAAGCGUGGGGAGCAAACAGGAUUAGAUACCCUGGUAGUCCACGCCGU